rnacentral:rRNA from 1 species
UGAUUGAUUAAAUGGCCGCAGUACCCUGACUGUGCUAAGGUAGCGUAAUCAGUUGGCUUUUAAAUGGAGUCGUGAAUGAAGGGAUCCACGGGAAUUAACUGUCUCUUUUUUUUAUUUAUUUGAACUUAUUAAGAAGGUGAAAAACCCUUCAAGUUGAAAAAAGACGAGAAGACCCUUAGAGUUUUUAGACGACUAAGCAGGUUGCUAUAAGUCUUUUUGCUGGGGCGGCAAAGAGACAUAUAUAUAUAUAACUCUCUCUCAAUAGUUUUUAGAAGACGUUAUUUUUAAGUAACAUGAAACUACCUUAGGGAUAACAGCAUAAUUAACCAAUUAGUUUGUGACCUCGAUGUUGGACUAGGAAAAACCUUGGCUAGUAGCCAAGGGUUCCGUUCUGUUCGAACAAUUGCUCCUAC